rnacentral:rRNA from 1 species
UACGUAGGUGGCAAGCGUUGUCCGGAUUUAUUGGGUUUAAAGGGUGCGUAGGCGGCCCUGUAAGUCAGUGCUGAAAUAUCCCGGCUUAACCGGGAGGGUGGCAUUGAUACUGCAGGGCUUGAGUACAGAUGAAGUAGGCGGAAUUGACGGUGUAGCGGUGAAAUGCAUAGAUAUCGUCAAGAACACCGAUAGCGAAGGCAGCUUACUAAGCUGUAACUGACGCUGAGGCAGCGAAAAGUGUGGGGGAUCAAACAGGG